rnacentral:rRNA from 1 species
UACGGGGGGGGCAAGCGUUGUUCGGAAUUACUGGGCGUAAAGGGCUCGUAGGCGGCCAACUAAGUCGGACGUGAAAUCCCUCAGCUUAACUGGGGAACUGCGUCUGAUACUGGAUGGCUUGGAUUCGGGAGAGGGAUGCGGAAUUCCAGGUGUAGCGGUGGAAUGCGCAGAUAUCAGGAAGAACACCGGUGGCGAAGGCGGCUCUCUGGGCCUUACCUGACGCUGAGGAGCGAAAGCGUGGGUAGCGAACAGG